GCGGCAGGCCUAACACAUGCAAGUCGAGCGGAAACGAGUUAUCUGAACCUUCGGGGAACGAUAACGGCGUCGAGCGGCGGACGGGUGAGUAAUGCCUAGGAAAUUGCCCUGAUGUGGGGGAUAACCAUUGGAAACGAUGGCUAAUACCGCAUAAUGCCUACGGGCCAAAGAGGGGGACCUUCGGGCCUCUCGCGUCAGGAUAUGCCUAGGUGGGAUUAGCUAGUUGGUGAGGUAAUGGCUCACCAAGGCGACGAUCCCUAGCUGGUCUGAGAGGAUGAUCAGCCACACUGGAACUGAGACACGGUCCAGACUCCUACGGGAGGCAGCAGUGGGGAAUAUUGCACAAUGGGCGCAAGCCUGAUGCAGCCAUGCCGCGUGUGUGAAGAAGGCCUUCGGGUUGUAAAGCACUUUCAGUCGUGAGGAAGGUGGUGUAGUUAAUAGCUGCAUUAUUUGACGUUAGCGACAGAAGAAGCACCGGCUAACUCCGUGCCAGCAGCCGCGGUAAUACGGAGGGUGCGAGCGUUAAUCGGAAUUACUGGGCGUAAAGCGCAUGCAGGUGGUUUGUUAAGUCAGAUGUGAAAGCCCGGGGCUCAACCUCGGAAUAGCAUUUGAAACUGGCAGACUAGAGUACUGUAGAGGGGGGUAGAAUUUCAGGUGUAGCGGUGAAAUGCGUAGAGAUCUGAAGGAAUACCGGUGGCGAAGGCGGCCCCCUGGACAGAUACUGACACUCAGAUGCGAAAGCGUGGGGAGCAAACAGGAUUAGAUACCCUGGUAGUCCACGCCGUAAACGAUGUCUACUUGGAGGUUGUGGCCUUGAGCCGUGGCUUUCGGAGCUAACGCGUUAAGUAGACCGCCUGGGGAGUACGGUCGCAAGAUUAAAACUCAAAUGAAUUGACGGGGGCCCGCACAAGCGGUGGAGCAUGUGGUUUAAUUCGAUGCAACGCGAAGAACCUUACCUACUCUUGACAUCCAGAGAACUUUCCAGAGAUGGAUUGGUGCCUUCGGGAACUCUGAGACAGGUGCUGCAUGGCUGUCGUCAGCUCGUGUUGUGAAAUGUUGGGUUAAGUCCCGCAACGAGCGCAACCCUUAUCCUUGUUUGCCAGCGAGUAAUGUCGGGAACUCCAGGGAGACUGCCGGUGAUAAACCGGAGGAAGGUGGGGACGACGUCAAGUCAUCAUGGCCCUUACGAGUAGGGCUACACACGUGCUACAAUGGCGCAUACAGAGGGCAGCAAGCUAGCGAUAGUGAGCGAAUCCCAAAAAGUGCGUCGUAGUCCGGAUUGGAGUCUGCAACUCGACUCCAUGAAGUCGGAAUCGCUAGUAAUCGUGGAUCACAAUGCCACGGUGAAUACGUUCCCGGGCCUUGUACACACCGCCCGUCACACCAUGGGAGUGGGCUGCAAAAGAAGUAGGUAGUUUAACCUUCGGGAGGACGCU
rnacentral:rRNA from 1 species